AACUUUCAACAAAGGAUCUCUUGGCUCUCGCAUCGAGGAAGAACGCAGCGAAGCGCGAAAUGUAGUGUGAAUCGCAGAACAUUGUGAAUCAUCGAAUCUUUGAACGCACAUUGCGCCUCUCUUAACAGGGAGGCAUGCCUGUCUGAGUCUCAUUU
rnacentral:rRNA from 1 species